UUAUGUUUCUCUUCACGUCUCUUUUUUUUCGCUCCACAGCAAAUUACCAAUUCUAUGAAUUGCAGAAUAGCAUUCAGUGCAGGUCUCCCCGCUGCAGGGGAAGUCUCUUAUAAACACAAGCACGUUCUUUAAUGUUAAUUUAGGGCAUUUUAAUGUUAGAUCGUACUUUGCAAGGCACCAUAACUCUAGACCCACAUGCACGUUUUACAUCGCCCUUAAUUCCCAUUAGUCCCGCAAAUCUCACCGUGGAUGCAUCUAUCCCUCUUAUUUAGUGCGUUUCUUUGCUUUGCAAGUUUUCUUCACACAGUGGACUCUCAUUACGAAACUGAGCGCUUGGGAAAGAUGCCAUCAAAGCCCCACUGCCAGCUGUUGGAGGCUGCCAGGUACAUUCAGGGAUAGAUCCUCCUUGCCGUUUUAUCCCAAUUGAGGCCAGACUGCUGGAUUCCAGGAACUGAGGGCCCUUCACAUCUGGACAAGGAGGUACAGUGACUGGGCCAGCACAAUCUGGCCCAUUGAAUAUGAACUAAUUCUACAGGACACAGUAGUAACAGUGGGCUGAGGCUGCAUCGCAGGAGGACAUGGAUAGGUCAUGCUUCAGGCCCCCUUUAUUCAUGGCUGACCAUGGGUGUCUCCAGGGUUGGACGCCAGUGCGUGACU